rnacentral:rRNA from 1 species
GAUGAACGCUGGCGGCGUGCCUAAUACAUGCAAGUCGAGCGAAUGGAUUAAGAGCUUGCUCUUAUGAAGUCAGCGGCGGACGGGUGAGUAACACGUGGGUAACCUGCCCAUAAGACUGGGAUAACUCCGGGAAACCGGGGCUAAUACCGGAUAACAUUUUGAACCGCAUGGAACGAAAUUGAAAGGCGGCUUCGGCCGUCACUUAUGGAUGGACCCGCGUAGCAUUAGCUAGUUGGUGAGGUAACGGCUCACCAAGGCAACGAUGCGUAGCCGAACGGAGAGGGUGAUCGGCCACACUGGGACUGAGACGCGGCCCAGACUCCUACGGGAGGCAGCAGUAGGGACUCUUCCGCAAUGGACGAAAGUCUGACGGAGCAACGCCGCGUCAGUGAUGAAGGCUUUCGGGUCGUAAAACUCUGUUGUUAGGGAAGAACAAGUGCUAGUUGAAUAAGCUGGCACCUUGACGGUACCUAACCAGAAAGCCACGGCUAACUACGUGCCAGCCGCCGCGGUAA